rnacentral:rRNA from 1 species
UACGGGGGGGCAAGCGUUGUUCGGAAUUACUGGGCGUAAAGGGCGCGUAGGCGGCACUGUUAGUCAGGCGUGAAAGUCCUGGGCUCAACCUGGGAACUGCGCUUGAUACGGCAGAGCUAGAGGAUGGAAGAGGCUCGCGGAAUUCCCAGUGUAGAGGUGAAAUUCGUAGAUAUUGGGAAGAACACCGGUGGCGAAGGCGGCGAGCUGGUCCAUUACUGACGCUGAGGCGCGACAGCGUGGGGAGCAAACAGG